rnacentral:rRNA from 1 species
AUUGAACGCUGGCGGCAGGCCUAACACAUGCAAGUCGAACGAGUGGCGGACGGGUGAGUAAUGUCUGGGAAACGGCCCGAUGGAGGGGGAUAACUACUGGAAACGGUAGCUAAUACCGCAUACCAUCGGAUGUGCCCAGAUGGGAUGAGCUAGUAGGUGGGGUAACGGGUCACCUAGGCGACGAUACCUAGCUGGUCUGAGAGGAGCACAAGCCAAACGGGAACUGAGACACGGUCCAGACUCGUACGGGAGGCAGCAGGGGGGAAUAUUGCAAAAGGGGCGAAAGCCUGAUGCAGACAUGCCGGGUGUAUGAAGAAGGCUUUCGGGUUGUAAAGUACUUUCAGCGAGGAGGCGUUACUCGCAGAAGAAGCACCGGCUAACUCCGUGCCAGCAGCCGCGGUAAUAC